GGCCUGAUGGUCUAGUAGUAUGAUUCCUUGUUAGGGUUAUGUACGUUGGUAUAGCUUUUCGAGGAGGUCCCGGGUUCAAUUCCCGGUCAGGCCC